GGUAACCAGUGGUCAGUGAUGAGCUCUGUUGAGGGGUAACUGUCCAACGCCGGCAGGGGGACUUGACAAACUUACAAUGCACUUUGUAAACUUGAAACAAGUUGAAGAUUGUUGUUGGGAGCCGUGGAUGUGUUAUGGACUGGAAGCGUGAGGCGGCGUGCUUAUCGACGAAGAGCUGCUUGAAACUUGAUCAAGGCUGCUGCAGCAGAUACUGUACGUGUUGUCAGCACGCGACACGUGCUUCUCACGCGCCAGCACGUGCUGGUGGAAUACCGCAACAUAGCAACGCUGUCUGUGCCGAUGACCCCACAGACUAAACCACUGGCACCAGAAGGGGUUAGUCCGCCUGUAAUUUGAAGCUUGGAGAUGGAACAAGUUGAUGGAGACGAAUGCAGCAUAGUAAUACGUGGUCCUAACAAUCGGGAACAGAGUUGAAUGAUGAAUUGUCCUUGGUUAUUAUGAAGAGAGGGAGCUAGCUCAGUUUUAACUUUCAGUUGCAUAUCAGUCACCCGGCUCCCAGCUCUGAACAUGUGCUUCUUUUCACCAUUCAUGGAUCGCAUGAAACAUUACCAUCAAAAAGUUAUAUGCAUUUAUCUAGAAGAAUAAUAUGUGUCCUUGUGUCCAUUGCUAUUCUUGGGGUAAAUGUACCAGUGUCAUUGUGUCUUUGUGUCUUUGUGUCCAUUGUUAUUCUUGGGGUAAAUAUACCAAUGUCUUUUUGUCCAUUGUUAUUCUUGGGGUAAAUACGCUAUACAAGUGUCUUAGUGUCCAUUGUAAUUCUUGGGUUAAAUACGCUAUACCAGUGUCUUUGUGUCCAUUGUAAUUCUUGGGUUAAAUACGCUAUACCAGUGUCUUUGUGUCCAUUGUAAUUCUUGGGGUAAAUAUACCAGUGUCUUAGUGUCCAUUGUAAUUCUUGGGGUAAAUAUACCAGUGUCUUAGUGUCCAUUGUUAUUCUUGGGGUAAAUAUACCAGUGUCUUUGUGUCCAUUGUUAUUCUUGGGUUAAAUACGCUAUACCAGUGUCAUAGUGUCCAUUGUAAUUCUUGGGUUAAAUACGCUAUACCAGUGUCUUUUUGUCCAUUGUAAUUCUUGGGUUAAAUACGCUAUACCAGUGUCUUAGUGUCUAUUGUAAUUCUUGGGUUAAAUACGCUAUACCAGUGUCUUAGUGUCUAUGAUAAUUCUUGGGGUAAAUAUACCAGUGUCUUUUUGUCCAUUGUAAUUCUUGGGUUAAAUACGCUAUACCAGUGUCUUAGUGUCCAUUGUAAUUCUUGGAGUAAAUAUACCAGUGUCUUUGUGUCUAUGAUAACUAUUGGGGUAAAUAUACCAGUGUCUUAGUGUCCAUUGUAAUUCUUGGGUUAAAUACGCUAUACCAGUGUCUUAGUGUCCAUUGCAAUUUUGGGUUGAAUACGCUAUACCAGUGUCUUAGUGUCUAUGAUAAUUCUUGGGGUAAAUAUACCAGUGUCUUUGU